rnacentral:misc_RNA from 1 species
AAAGUCGUAACAAGGUUUCCGUAGGUGAACCUGCGGAAGGAUCAUUAUAGAGUAUUGGGGUUAUUGCUUAUUCUCUCUUGAAUAAGUCAAUGCCUUUUUCCCCUCUUACCCAUUAUAUAUUUCUACUUUUAGUUGCUUUGGCAAUUGUCAAUUUGAUGAUUGCCAAGGGAAUCUUAUAAACCCUUUUUGAUAUCCAAUAAUUGGUUACUUUUGGUCUGAUUUUUAAUGCUUUAAUAGUAUUUAAAACUUUCAACAAUGGAUCUCUUGGUUCUG